GUACGGAUGUGAGAGGGUUUCCUCGUGCUCCAAGGCCCCCCCAUAUGUCCUACCACAUGGGGCGGUGUUUACCAGGCUUCACUGGCUAUGGGCUACCUCAGCCUCCUCCACAUGGGCGGAGUGGGGGGCCUCACCCACAGCUCAUUCCUCCAACACGUGGGCUUCAGUCAUAUUCAGAAACCUGUGGCGCUCAAGGGGACAACAGCGGCACCCCGCCCAGAAAGGUCCCGCAGAAGGACCAGACACUACAUUUGAAAUUUGAAGACCUCCCUGAGCAAUUACAACCAGGCUGUGUGUGUAUAAAUUUAGAAAAUUGUCAGAUCAGCCUAAUGUCCUGAAUGCUGUCCCUGCCCAUCCUGUCCCCUGUGCUCUGUCUCUCCUGGUAUCCCCCAAAUAAACCUUUCACAGUUC